GACGAACGCCUGAAGCGUGCUUAACACAUGCAAGUCGAACGGAAAGGCCCUGCUUUUGUGGGGUGCUCGAGUGGCGAACGGGUGUCUAACACGUGAGUAACCUGCCCUUGACUUUGGGAUAACUUCAGGAAACUGGGGCUAAUACCGGAUAGGAGCUCCUGCUGCAUGGUGGGGGUUGGAGAGUUUCGGCGGUUGGGGAUGGACUCGCGGCUUAUCAGCUUGUUGGUGGGGUAGUGGCUUACCAAGGCUUUGACGGGUAGCCGGCCUGAGAGGGUGACCGGCCACAUUGGGACUGAGAUACGGCCCAGACUCCUACGGGAGGCAGCAGUGGGGAAUAUUGCACAAUGGGCGGAAGCCUGUUGCAGCAACGCCGCGUGCGGGAUGACGGCCUUCGGGUUGUAAACCGCUUUCGCCUGUGACGAAGCGUGAGUGACGGUAAUGGGUAAAGAAGCACCGGCUAACUACGUGCCAGCAGCCGCGGUGAUACGUAGGGUGCGAGCGUUGUCCGGAUUUAUUGGGCGUAAAGGGCUCGUAGGUGGUUGAUCGCGUCGGAAGUGUAAUCUUGGGGCUUAACCCUGAGCGUGCUUUCGAUACGGGUUGACUUGAGGAAGGUAGGGGAGAAUGGAAUUCCUGGUGGAGCGGUGGAAUGCGCAGAUAUCAGGAGGAACACCAGUGGCGAAGGCGGUUCUCUGGGCCUUUCCUGACGCUGAGGAGCGAAAGCGUGGGGAGCGAACAGGCUUAGAUACCCUGGUAGUCCACGCUGUAAACGGUGGGUACUAGGUGUGGGGUCCAUUCCACGGGUUCCGUGCCGUAGCUAACGCUUUAAGUACCCCGCCUGGGGAGUACGGCCGCAAGGCUAAAACUCAAAGGAAUUGACGGGGCCCCGCACAAGCGGCGGAGCAUGCGGAUUAAUUCGAUGCAACGCGUAGAACCUUACCUGGGUUUGACAUGGAUCGGGAGUGCUCAGAGAUGGGUGUGCCUCUUUUGGGGUCGGUUCACAGGUGGUGCAUGCCUGUCGUCAGCUCGUGUCGUGAGAUGUUGGGUUAAGUCCCGCAACGAGCGCAACCCUUGUUCACUGUUGCCAGCACGUUAUGGUGGGGACUCAGUGGAGACCGCCGGGGUCAACUCGGAGGAAGGUGGGGAUGACGUCAAGUCCUCAUGCCCCUUAUGUCCAGGGCUUCACGCAUGCUACAAUGGCUGGUACAGAGAGUGGCGAGCCUGUGAGGGUGAGCGAAUCUCGGAAAGCCGGUCUCAGUUCGGAUUGGGGUCUGCAACUCGACCUCAUGAAGUCGGAGUCGCUAGUAAUCGAAGGUCAGCAACGCUGCGGUGAAUACGUUCCCGGGGC
rnacentral:rRNA from 1 species